ACCCCGACGGUCCCGCCUCAGCGCUCGCGCGCCACCAGACCCAACGGUCCCGCCCCAACGGUCGCGCCUCAGCGCUCGCGCGCCACCAGCGCCGCCGCCCGCAGGCACCCCACCUCGACCCCCGCCUCGGCAGCGCGGCACGCAGGGGGGAUGACUCCCCCCUUCCCGCGUGUAUCCUCAGGCCGAGCGGGCAGCCGCCCCGCAGUCCUCCCUGCAGCAGAUCGUGACCUGAAAGGGUGAGAUCUAGCCCAAUUGGAAUGACAGCGUGAGAGAGGACAGUAGCAUGGCAAUUGCGGCAUGAUGCAGUACUGUCUGUACCUGUUUGAUAACUUUUCCCUGACAAAGUAUCCCUUAUCAGGGAUCUUGACUGAGGGAAGGUCACAAGCAUUAAAACUUUGGAAGGACAAACUCUUAUAUAGUUUCUAAGGUACGCAUGUUCAGCAGUCAGCACAUUAGCCAUCUUUUGGAUAACAAGAUUUAAUUCCACUGUGACGUGGGAAUGGCUUUUCGCCCAGGUCAUUCAAGAAGUACAUCAUUAAGAACACUUGAGGAGUAAUUGCUAUCAGCAUCACAAAUGGAUUGGGAGGAGGAAUAUUUGCCAGCGUUGUAAGAUAUUGAUACAGUGUGGACUACUGGAACUAGUUUUGUCCCUGUAGCACUGUCUGCUGUACGCCCUGGGUCUCUAUGUAUGCACUCAAAAGGCC